CCACGUCGUUUAACGGUUUUGCCUCUCUAUGUCCAUGCAUUCUUAGAUCUGCAUUCGUGCAUGACUGAUCUAUUACACAUCCUGAGAGUGAGUUGCAUAGGCUACGAUUUAGCCUGCUUCGGUGUAUUAUCUGCGCAGCGACCAGUCAAUUAUAAUCCACCCAGUGCUAGUGCACAAACGUGUGUGCGCGUGUACUUUCUCUGCGAGCCUCGUUCUCGCCAUGAAGCUGGCCUGAGAGGAAACAGUACAGAGUCAGAGCCGUGCAUCAACACUCCCUCGUCCCCAAACUGGACGGUGCAAAAAGGGCUCCCCUGAACUCAAACAGCCCCAGCGGCUGUCAACGUUUUCAAAUUGGGGUUCGGUCCAAUAUGGCGACAGACGGAUGGAAAUACUGAUGACAGUCCGAAAGAUCGCCUCGAUUUGUACGAUGGGCGCCAAUGCCUCAGCUUUGGAGAAGGAGAUCGGACCGGAACAGUUUCCAGUUAAUGAACACUACUUUGGAUUGGUCAACUUUGGGAACACCUGCUACUGUAACUCGGUGCUGCAGGCCCUCUACUUCUGCCGUCCUUUUAGGGAAAAGGUCUUGGCCUACAAGGUCCAGCCCAGACGUAAAGAGUCCCUGCUCACCUGUCUGUCUGACCUCUUCAACAGCAUCGCUACACAAAAGAAGAAGGUCGGCGUCAUCCCUCCCAAGAAGUUCAUCUCCCGUCUGAGGAAGGAGAAUGAGCUGUUUGACAACUACAUGCAGCAAGAUGCCCAUGAGUUCCUCAACUACCUCCUCAACACUAUCGCUGACCUGCUCCAGGAGGAGAAGGGCCAGGAGCGACAGCAGAACGGAAAACUGGUGCAGAACGGAGGAGGUGGGGGGAGCAGCGGGACAGGAGGAGGAGAGGGAGAGGAAGGGGAGAAGAUACAGCAGACCUGGGUCCAUGAGAUCUUCCAGGGCACCCUGACCAACGAGACGCGUUGCCUCAACUGUGAAGCUGUGAGCAGUAAAGAUGAGGACUUCCUGGACCUGUCUGUCGACGUGGAGCAGAACACCUCCAUCACGCACUGUCUUAGGGGUUUCAGCAACACUGAGACACUAUGUAGUGAAUACAAGUACUACUGUGAACAGUGUCGGAGUAAACAGGAAGCACAGAAAAGGAUGCGCGUGAAGAAGCUCCCUAUGAUCCUGGCGUUACACCUGAAGAGGUUUAAAUACAUGGACCAGUUGCAUCGCUACACCAAGUUGUCCUAUCGCGUCGUCUUCCCCCUGGAGCUCCGCCUCUUCAACACCUCAGGAGACGCCACCAACCCCGACCGCAUGUACGAUCUGGUCGCCGUGGUCGUCCACUGUGGAAGUGGUCCAAACCGUGGUCAUUACAUCACCAUAGUGAAGAGUCAUGGAUUCUGGCUCUUGUUUGAUGACGACAUAGUAGAGAAAAUCGACGCCCAGGCGAUCGAGGAGUUCUACGGUCUAACGUCUGACAUUUCUAAGAACUCUGAGUCAGGUUACAUCCUGUUCUACCAGUCCCGGGACUGAACCAGCAAAUGGCAGCGGCCCAAGGCUGAAACGGGCCAUUGGGAUUGGGACUCAGCAUAGAGGGGAGGGGCUUGGGCAGCCACAGGCCCCGCCUAGCCCACCACCUGUUUUUAAAUAUUCAGGCUUUACAGCGGGAGCUGUGGAGCGCCGAGAGGAUGCAUAGAGGAGGAUCUUCAGCAGACAGGAGCCAACGAUGCCUGAGCAACUGAUCAGUUGAUAUGACAUCGUAGAACGAAGAGCAGGCUGGAGCAUGAGGCAGCCCCCAGGGUGAAGCUCAGACCUUCGCCCAGCGGAAUCCUCCGUUCCUGGGCAUGGUGUUGGCUGUCCUCUGGGUGGACUCUGGAGCUACUGGAGGGCUGGGCCAGACUCAGUAGGUUGUGGUGGGAGUGGAACUGUCUCAUCUGACCAAUGGACUUGGACGGGGUCUCGUUGGAACCUGGUGAGGGAGAGCCUUUAUUUCAUUAGGAUCUCUUUUAGUCCUUAAUUGGACUAAUCUUCCAAGAGUCCUUAAACAUUAAAAUACAAGCUAUAAUACGAUCACAUUUUCACAUAACACACUGUUACAAACUGACAUAUUGACCAGAUAAUUACUCUAAAGAGUCUGAAAAUAUAGAUUGAUUCCUUCAUCUACCUUCCAAUGUAUUAUAUUUAAAUGGUUUAAAGUUUUUUUUAAUUAUUUAUUGAAAUGUUUCUGGUUUGCUCAGAUAAAUGAUUCAAUUUCUUUAUUGGUCCGAAUCGAAAUGUUCUUUUGCCUAUUUUUCUUUUAUGUCUAACACAGAUAGUGGACAAUCUAUUCCUAGUAUUUACUGAAUGACUGUCUCUUACCAGCUGAAUACCAUUGUGAAUUGGCUGUUUUAAAUAGUGUAAAUUGUGAAAUAAAAUAAGCAUUUUUUUUCUCCAAUUACCUUGUUGAUUGAGCAUUGUGCAUGACUACAACAGAAUUACCAUAUCGGAACCUUAAAACACGCCUUGCUGCUUUGUUCUGUUCAGUCUGCAUCCUUCUAAUUUCACUUGCUGAUGAAUUUCCCCAGACCACAGAACAGUAGUUCACCUGACUCCCAAUUAAUGCCUGGGUUGUUUGCUUAAGAAUAUUUCCCAGUAAAUAUUUAGCUAUCCUUCUGAUCAUGCAUGCAGUUGUAAUUAUUAUUAUUUUUUUACAUUGAGUUAUUUGAGAUGACCACGAUAAAGCAGUUGUCUAGCUGGACCCCUAGUAGUUUGGUUUCUGACACUCAAUUGGUACUCACUCCAUACUUAACUGUAUCCCAUUCUGUUGGCCUUUUCCUGGUGGAACAGACCAACAUAACCUAUGUUUUCUUGGCGUUCAAAACAAGUUUGUUCCAGCAAACCCACUCCCUGAUAUUUCCCAGAUCUACUUGUAGAGCUUGGUGUACCUGUUGAACUGAUUAUCUUGCUGAAUAUAUUGUAGUUUCAUCUGCAGAUAUAGUAGCUUGAGUUUCAGAUAAGACAUAAGGAAGGUCGUUGGUAUAUAUUAAGUAAAGAAGUUGCCCAAGGCAGCUGCCCUGCGGUAUUCCACAGUUUAAAGCAUGAGGGGAAGAAUACGACCCAUUGAUAUAGGUGGACUGUUUCCUGUCAGUUAGAUAUGACUGUACCCAAUUCAAUGCUGACUCCUUAAACCUAUAAUAAAAUAAUUUUGUCAAAA